rnacentral:lncRNA from 1 species
ACAUUGACCUUCAUUGAAGAAGAUCUGCAGGACUUACUGAGAUUACACAAGAGGAAGUGAUGAGGCAUUUUUCUGAAUGUUGAAACUAGUCUCUUUGUCCAUGAAUACCGGCACUGACUGAAAGAAUGCUUUGAAGAAAUUCCUCAAAGGUAAAAGAAACAAAAACAUGAUGGAAGCCAAGAAGACAAAUAUGAACAAAGGCAGCAAAUGUAUAAACAGCUACAGCCUAGGCCAGAAAAGACAAGUUCUAGUCUCAGAAGAAUAGAAGGGGAAAAGCAAGAAAUGGCAAGAAUAGAGUGUUGUAAAAGAAUGCAUGUCAGAGAAAACCAGUGUUUCUGGACACAUUUGAAACAAGUGGCUGAAGUCAUGGCAUGGAUUAGGAGUGUUAGUUCCAAGCACAAUGAUAAGAAGCUGUCUGUGGUGGUUUGAAUGAGAAAGGCUCAUUUAUUUGAAUGCUCUGCUUGGUCCCUACUUGAUGGAAGCAUUUUGGUAAGGAUUAGAUGUGGCCUUGGUGGAGGAAGUAUGUCACUUGCUGUGAGUUUUGAAGUUUCAAAGUCUGUGCUCUUACCUCUU